UAAGCAGCGUGUGAAAUGAUACGGCUCAACCGUAUGUCCAUGCGCUGAACUGCUUAGCUAGAGCAUGAGAGAGGUAGCUGGAAUUUCUAGUGUAGGAGUGAAAUCCGUAGAUAUUAGAAGGAACACCGAUGGCGUAGGCAGGCUACUGGCUCAUUGCUGACGCUCAGGCACGAAAGCGCGGGGAGCGACCGGGAUUAGAUACCCCGUUAGUCCACGCCGUAAACGAUGGAUGCUA
rnacentral:rRNA from 1 species